rnacentral:rRNA from 1 species
AGGACGAACGCUGGCGGCGUGCUUAACACAUGCAAGUCGAGCGGAAAGGCCCUUCGGGGUACUCGAGCGGCGAACGGGUGAGUAACACGUGAGCAAUCUGCCCUUGACUCUGGGAUAGCUCCGGGAAAACCGGGAUUAAUACCGGAUAUGACCACUUUAGACAUCUUUUGUGGUGGAAAGAAUUUCGGUCAGGGAUGAGCUCGCGGCCUAUCAGCUUGUUGGUGGGGUAAUGGCCUACCAAGGCGACGACGGGUA